rnacentral:lncRNA from 1 species
ACAAUAGAUUUUUGUAUAUUGUUGUAUCCUGCCACUUCACUGAACUUGUUUAACAGCUAUAAUUUUUGUGUGUGUGGAUUCCUUUAGGAUUUUUCUAUUUAUAAGAUUAUGUCACAUGCAAUAUCAUUUUGCGGCUUCUUCUCCAAUCCAGAUGACUUUUAUUCCUUUUCUUGAUUAAUUUCCCUGAUUGGAAGCCCAUCCCAAUAUCGUAAUAUUGAAUAGCAGUGAUGAGAGCAGAUAUCUUUGUCUUGUUCCUGAUCCUAGAGAUGCAAGCUUUCAUUCAUUCACUGAGUUUUUUUGUUGUUGUUUGUUGGUUUGUUUGUUUAAAGAUUUUAUUUAUUUGAGAGGGAGAAAGAGAGAGAGAAAGUGAGCCCAAACAGGGACAGUGGCAGAAGGAGAGGGAGAAGCAGGCUCCCCACUAAGCAGGAAGCCUGACAUGGGGCUUGAUCCUAGGUCUCCAGGAUCAUAACCUGAGCUGAAGGCAGACACUUAACUGACUGAACCACCCAGGUGCUCUAGUCUGUCACUGUUAAGUGUGAUUUAGUUGUGGGGUUUUCAUGCCUUAAAUGUUAAUCUUAUCCAGUGACACCCUCAAUAGAUACAUCUAGAAUAUUAACCAAAUGUCUGGGCACUUCAUGGUCUAGUCAAGUCAAUAAAAUUAACCAUCACAUCAGUUAUCACUGUAACAAAACAAUACAAACAUAUAAAAGAUACAAAUCAUCUCCUUUCAUUCCUUCUUCUCAUCACUCAUCUUUUCUACAGUAUUCCCCUUUUCAUCCCCAGAGAAUGCUUUUAUAUAUAUAUAAAAGUUCUUUCCAUAUUUUUCUCUAUGCUUUUAUAAGCACACAUAUCUCUCUCACACACACACACACACACACACACACACACACACUUGUGCUAACAUUUCCUUUCCCCAAAAAAGGAAUAAUACUAAAUUCAGAAGUUUGCACUUUGAAAGCAUAACAACAAGAACAGUAGAAAGUAUAUCUUUCUGGAGAAAGAAGUUCUAUAUACCUUAUUCUUCCUAUUACACACUCAGUAUAUAAAAUACUGUAAGAUUUAAUGGGAUACCCAACAGAUAAAUUUCUAAAAAUUUAAAAUUAAUGAAAAGAUUUCCAUAUGGUUUUACAGACUCUCCAUUCCUUGAACACACUUAGACCCAUGCAACAUAUCCUUUCAAUAGGAUAAAGUAGAUUUUUAAUAUAUCUUUAUACCUAACAUCAUCAACUAAUUAUAGAUAAGAAAUAAAAAUUUAACUUCUAUGAAGUUCAUUUUCUGCUGUAAUUAUUAAUAAUGUAAAGCAGGAUCUAAAAAUAGAUUACCUGAAUCAAAAGAAUUACAGCUCCAAAAGAAAGCACAUAAUUAAAAAUGAUAAAGCCUGCAUAGUUAAUAGUCCCAUACAUGUCUAGAACUGAUUAGGCAUGGAAAAAAAUUCUAGUGCCUUGAAAACAAUCCCCCACACCUAGUCUUCACUUUCUCUCGACAAGCAUUUUGCUUGGCAAGAUCCUACCCAUCCCACGAUGCUCAAUUCAACUGUCACAUUCUGUGAGAUGCUUUCCUUCAAUGACCCGCCCACCAUUAAAUUAGUCAUUUCCACAUUUGUGCUUUGGUGGCACUCUCCUGACACUGACAUUAUCCCGGUUAAUCCCACUGUGAGUGUCAUUUGGGUUUGAGUUUAUCUUGUUUCCUAAGCUGUCAGCAAAAUGUGGGAAGGUCCCAUGUGGUCCCUAUUCCUUUGAACACACAUGAAUACACACAUAUACACAAAUGCACAAACACACAUACAUAGAGCAAGAUAGGGAACUUGUCGGUCAAUUCCACUAUUUCUAUCCUCCAUUCUUUCCAUUAUAUCUUUCCUUUAACUUUUAUAUAUCUGGCUUUCCCUAAGUGUAUUUGUUCUUUUAUAACUUGAAUGGAUUGUUUUAUAUGUCUAUUUGUCUCACUGGUUUAAUACAGAAAAUAUUUAAGGUUUUAAAUUUGCUUCUUCAUAAAGUUUUGGCAGAAAAAUAAAAUAUUUUAUUGUAAGCCAUUCCAGUUGGCAUUACUGUCAGGCAAUUCUGUAAUGUCAGUUUUAAUUUCUCCUUUGACCAAAGAGGUUUUUAGAGGAUAUUUUCAUUUAUUUGCUUUUUGAGGUCAAAAUGGUGGGGC